CAGGGCUGCAGCCUGGGUGUGAAAUCACACUAAUGCGCCCGCUCUAGUCAGGUUGAGCAGGAUCCCUCACUCUCUCUCUCUCACUCACACACUACCGUUCCUCUACUACUGUAGCCCCAGCACCAGCAGCCAGAAGACAAGUGUGGAUUGGACGUCAAGGAGGGCAAGAAAGAAAGGAAGGAGGCAUAAAAAAAGAGAGACAGAAAGGUCCGCGAGGAAACGAGGAAAGGGAUUUUUUGCAGCUGCUCUUCGUCGACUGUCGGUUAGGAUCCGCUCUUGUGACGGGAGACGCUGUUUGAACGGUGCACACUGCUGGAUCUCCGGUGGCCUGCCGGU